GGUGCCUGGGGGUGCUGAGCCCGCCCGGAGCCGCCUGUGUCCGUGCCGGACUCGGCCUCCCUGCGCCUUGAGCCCCGGCCCACGCUGGGGCUUCUCUUCCCAAGCUGGGUUGCCGUCGGGCAGAGCUGUACACUCCCCAAGUCAGAAGCCAAGGCCCCAAGCGUAGACGCAGACAAGAGCGGCACCAUUAAGGCAUGCACUAGUGGGAGCUUCUCGGUGCCUGCGUGAAGACGCCCUCUUGCCUCUGGGAAAAGUAUCGUCUGCAUCUUCUUGCUCCAGGAGCGGGGGUGGGGAGCGCAGCGCGGAGGAGGCAGCGCUGAGAUGACUCAACAGUGCGGCAUUUGGGGGCGCCGCGGAGGCCCGGACUGCGUAAGCGGCGAUAGGGUAGGACCCACAGCCUCCUCGCAGGCAGUCUUGGAGCUCGGUUCCGCGGUCGGUCCGGAUCUCCCGGGAAGUCUCGCCGGAGUCAGGCAGGCCUUAGGAAGAAGCUGCCUGAUGUGCAGGGUUUCACAGGCGGUCAGAGAGGGCAUCCUGGAGAAGCCCUGGCAUCAGGAAGGAAGAGGUCUCCCUGUCGUCCAGGCUGGUCAUGAACUCCCGGGGCUCAAGCAGUUCUCCAGUCUCAGCCUCCUGAAGUGCUGGGAUUAUAGGCGUGAGCCACCACACCGGGCCCCUCUCAUUUUAAAUGGCUGUGUAAUGUGGAUGAUGACAGCACCUACCUCAAGGGGCUGCUGUGAGGACUAAAUGGGUACGUUCUCAGUUAACAUUAGCGUGAUUGUCUUGUGAGGUCCCACUUCUAUCACUUUCUAUCCCGCCCCAAGCAGAGCCUGUUAGACAGGAGAUGCUCAGAUGCUUAUUGUGUAAACCCCUGUGGGCUACAUGGAAAAUCCCUCCUGACUUCGCUAGAAGGUGCUAUCUUGUCUCUUUUUAGGAUUGCCAAAGGUAUGGUGCCAAGGCCAUAGUACCCUGGCCCCACUGAUCUGCAGGAGUGGCCCUGAGCAUGGGUGGUCCUUUGCUCCUGGCCUUGCUGCUACAGUAAAAACAUUCACUAGUGGGCUGGGUGCAGUGGCUCAUGCCUGUAAUCCCAGCACUUUGGGAGGCCAAGGCAGGAAGACAGCUUGAACUCAGGAGUUUGAGACCAGUCUGGGCAACAUGGCAAGACCCUGUCUCUACAAAAAAAAAAUACAAAAAUUAGGGGAGCAUGGUGGCACACACUGGUCCCAGCUACUCAGGGGGCUGAAGCAGAAUGAUCGUUUGAGCCCAGGAGUGGAUGGAGGCUGCAGUGAGCAGAGAUCAUGCCACUGUACUCCAGUCUGGGCGAGAGAGCGAGACUGUCUCAAAACAAAAAACAUUCACUAGUGAUCAAUUCCUUCUACGUUCCCCAUGGACUGGAAGCUCCUGGAAGCUAAAGCACGUGAAUCACUUGCAUACCACUCUAUGCCCAGGUGCCAAGCGUGGGGCUUGGCACACCUGAGGUCCAGAGGAAGAGCUGCGUUGUUCAGACUGGCAAUGUGUGAGGCCUCUUCUAGCCACAGGUGCCCUGUGCAUGUUGCCCACAGCUAUGGAACCUCCACUCUACCCCUGAGCUACUUACCACUGACACUACUGCCACUUCUGACACCACAAAUGUGGACCCCCUUAAUCAAUCCAAACCCCAUUUCCUGUCCUUCACCCUUCAGAUUAGACUCCACACUUGUUUCUGCCCCAAGUUGUCUCUUCAUAACCCUUAGGGCUCCCAUGAAGCUGGAGUUCACCCUGCCAUAUUCCACAGCCCCUACAUUCCCAUGUCUGCUUUGGAGGGGUCCAGAGGUCUCAGAAUGGGGGGGUUGGGACAUUUAUAUCAGUACCCUACCACAACCCUGGGAUCUAUUUGUGGUGGGGAAUGAUUCAGCCUGUACCGAGGGAGAGGAGAGCUGAAAACUGCCAGGAUUUUCUACUUCAUUCCACAGGGAUCACUUACAGGUGCCCUCUCCCCCAACAGCCAGAAAGGGAAAACAGAGCCGAGUUUGGCCACUGGGGCCUCCACAGCCCUCUGGAAGAAGGGGCUGACUGAUAGGAAGACACUCCUCUGGUGUUCACUGGCCAGACCCCUGUGGGCUCAGAAAACUACCUAGACCCCACAAAGAAAGACACUAGACACAUUUUUAUAAUCAGAAACUUACAGUUUAUUGUGAAUAAACCACUCAACUUUGAGCAGAUGACAUUGCCUCAAUUAACUUUUUCUUUGAAGAAAAACAAAGAUAUAUGGUAAAUUCAUGAAAAUACUGUGUCCUUUCUCUUCCACCCUUUGUAGGGCAGAAAAAUUCUGCCUGACCUUUCCCAUCUUCCUGAUGAUGUUAACAAACGACAGCCACUGGGGGCACAGGAAGGGGCUCUACAUAGGCCAAGAGCUACAGGCUACACUCUGAGCACAGAAAACCCUCCAGCUCCAGCAUCCAGGGCCACAGCUGGACACAAGUACAGAACUUGGCAGUCCUGCAGCCCAGACAAUGCCCAGGGUGUGAUUUAGGGUGCAGAGCUGCAACUCAGAUCCUGUGCCAUGGCAGUAUCACAGGAAGGACUUGACGGAGAGGUAAAGGCUCCAGACGCCAGGAUAUUUAUUCCUUGUGCCGAUACAGCAUUCACACCUGACCUCCAGGUCCUGCAGCAGGUACUCUCCUCGUUCACAGUUAGCUCCCCACUGUUCCAUUCUGGGUUCAUUUGCUAUACUCCUAAUUUGUUCUCCCAAUCCACCCCACAGUCUCUCCCUUGCUGGGGACAACACAGGAAGAGACAAAACCUGAGGAAGGAGAAAGGGAACCUGCAACCAGCCAUGGACCUCAUGAUCCCAUGAGUCACAGCUAUCCUCUUUAAGAAUGACUGUUUUAUAGCUUACAUGGUACCUGGGAAAUUGCUGACUUGCAGCUGAAAUGUAUGAAUACCAAAGAAUUUCUAUCACAAUAUUCACAGAUCUCUGUAACAGCUCUACUUGGAGGUCAAGCAGGCUUGGGAGAGUAUAGACUGCUCUGCCUGCCCUAGAGUGGAAGCAUUGAACAAAGCCACAAACACCCCAGAGAUCACAGAUCUAACUUUUCAAUGGCCCACAGGACCAGGUUCAGGACAGGUAGGACACCAGGCAAACCACUUGUUUCCUUGCACUUUAUUGUGCAAAAGCUGGUCUGUUCCUCUGGCCAGACCCUCCUUAGUACAGGAUCUCGGACCACAAACCAAGGAGUCCCGUGGCCUUGGACUCCCAGACCCUAGGAUAGUAUCCCUCUGACAGCUAGAACCAGGCAAGGGGGAACACACCUCAGCCUCAGAGCAGCCUCUGGACACACUCCAGGUUAACAUGAAAAUAACUUGUGCAAACACGGCCCCCGUGCCAGAAAGUCCAGUGCCCUAGGGAGGGCUAUCCUGAAUUCUGACCCUGAUGUUUGCCAAAGGAGAGUGCAGCAAGACAGUGUCAGGUUUGGCCAAAUGUGACCCUGCUCAGAGCUAUACCACUUGAAUACUGGCACAAAAGAAAGGACCAAGGUAAAGCAAAUUUAUUUGGGAGGAACAAUUCCCUUCAAAAGCAGAUCCCUAUCUUCAGGAGACAAAAGGAAACACUGUGAUGAACCCACACCCCCUAGUUUGGGGGGCCACAGGCCCACCCCCAUUCUGCUGUGGGCUCUAGCCUCAGUAGCCAGAUCCAGGUAAACCUCAGUUUCAAGAAUAAAGGUGAGCCACAGACAUGCAGCACCACCAGAGACAACACCCCGUGGCAAGAAGACCAUGUUCUGGACUGUCUCCGUAUUGCUACGGAGCUCCGUAGCAAUGCUGUGACCCCUUGUGCUCCGUACCCAUUGCACAGGCCAGUUCAAUUCCCUACCAUCUGCCACCCACACUCUUCUUUGGGACUCCAACUCUGGCCAAACAAAUGUGAAUAUGGAAAGCAGAGGCCCAGGGCCCUCUUGCAGUACAGACAUUUUGAGGUGGGUAGGCAGCAUGUUACAUUCUAAGUAAAACAGCUAGAGGGUAAAACACUCCAAUGCCAAUUUAUUUUCAAAAAGGGCUCUGUGUUAUCCUAUAGUUUGCCUUUUUUUUUUUUUUUGUAUAAUUGUACAACCUUUGAAAGUUACAUAAGUUGUAAUUAUCUAAUACUAUUAAUAGCCAUUCAGAAAACACUUUCCCUCCCUCCCAACAACCAUCCAGGGGGAAAUAAAAGUCCUGAAAAGAGGCCAGUUCAACAUGGCCUCUACCCUGGUAGAAACAAAAAGUGAAAAGAGAAGAAAACAGAAAUCAACUAAGAGGUGUUGCCAGUGUCUCUCAGGAGUGGGGCCCUGGCUGUUGCCUGGGGUCAUGAAAGGCAGAGCCUGCAGCAUGCAGUAUGGCAGCCGGGAGACCUUGCAGCCACAUCUUCCUCACCCCGGCACAUCCACAUCCCAACUUAGGUGUCAUGGAAAUCUUUCAGCAGGGUUCUCCUCCGCUGCUCCGCUAUAUGCAUCUGGUUCUCCAAGUCCUGCAUCAGAGAAACAAGGUGUGUGCUUGCAUGGCCCAGGCCUGGGAGCAAGGAGUAGCCAAAGCCACAAACACCCUCCAGGACCUCCAAGGAGUCAAAAACACUGCCCUUCCCAUUCUUAGCAGCAGCUUCCAGUGCACAAGCCAACAACCCUGUCACCUAUUACCAUGCCAGUCCUCUACCUGCAAUACAGAAUCCAAGAGGACAGUAGGCACUUACCCCUCUGUCAUAGCUGUCUGCACGCUCCACUUUCCAUGAGAGGUUUUCGAUCUCAGCCUCCAGCUGAGCCUGCUGGUAUUCAAACUGUAUAGGCAGAGCAGGAGGGUCAAAAGGGCACAGAAGAAGGAGAAAACCACAGGAGUCCCACGAAGGUGCAGAGGUCUACACAGGAGUUCAGGAUAGACAUCUUGCUGGCAGGACAUGGCCAUAGACUCCUCUAACUUAUUCCCCAAAGUGCAAGAGCAGGUCUUCUUCAGUCCAUCCUUCUAACCUGUCCAGAGCAGCUGUAUGCUUACUGCCAGAUCACUCUACCCUUCUGGGGCAACAGGACUCUAGCCCUGAGGACUCUGCAAAGCUAGGCCCCUGAUGGUCUACUAUGCUUAGAGACCAUUAUGCAUGGGGCUCUUUGGGCUUCUGAAGGGCUCCCUGGGAGAAACUGCCUUCUAAAUCUGACUACUAAGAUGAUACUAUGGGAACAGAUUGUGAGGACAGAAAGAAAAAAAUAAAUAAAAAUUAAAAACGUAGAAAAAAGAAAAAAAAAAGAUGGUACUAGAUGGAAAAGACUGUCUGAUGGCCCUUC